UACGUAGGGUGCAAGCGUUAAUCGGAAUUACUGGGCGUAAAGCGUGCGCAGGCGGUGAUGUAAGACCGAUGUGAAAUCCCCCGGCUUAACCUGGGAACUGCGUCUGAUACUGGAGGGCUUGAGUAUGGGAGAGGGAUGUAGAAUUCCAGGUGUAGCGGUGAAAUGACGUAGAUAUCUGGAGGAAUACCGGUGGCGAAGGCGGCAUCCUGGACCAUUACUGACGCUGAGGCGCGAAAGCUAGGGGAGCAAACGGG
rnacentral:rRNA from 1 species